rnacentral:rRNA from 1 species
AUACGGAGGGUGCAAGCGUUAAUCGGAAUUACUGGGCGUAAAGCGCGCGUAGGCGGUUUAGUAAGUCGGAUGUGAAAGCCCUGGGCUCAACCUGGGAAUUGCAUUCGAUACUGGCAGGCUAGAGUAUAGUAGAGGCAAGUGGAAUUCCGGGUGUAGCGGUGAAAUGCGUAGAUAUCCGGAGGAACAUCAGUGGCGAAGGCGACUUGCUGGACUAAUACUGACGCUGAGGAGCGAAAGCGUGGGGAGCAAACGGGAUUAGAAACCCCGGUAGUCC